AAAAACAAAUAUCCGAUCACACCUUAGGACAUUCAAACUCAAUGGAAUGAUCAUCUACAUGGGAGAAGUACCGUUGAAAAGACCGUCAAAACAUGGCAAUUGUCCUACUGGUGCCCAGCAGUACGUAUUACCAUAAAUGAACGGAGAGCAGCCGCCGUUGAAAGGCAUACAGGGAGAAGAGGAUUCAUAACUUUAUUCUAAAGACAAAAACCUGAUACCCAUAGAGUAGGAGUUAGUGUAUACGUAAUUUUCGCAUUUUGGUGCCUUUUUUACUGCAUGAAAUCUCGUACAGUCAGCAAAAUACAUCUGGCAACUUCAGACAAGCAGUGACGUAAGUGACUCCACGUGCGUAGUAAACAGUUGAUCUCGUGUCGAUCUUAUUACACCAAGUUUUCCAUCUUACAGUUCUACUUAUCACUCCCCCUGACUUCACGGAACUAAGCUUGAGUUUUCUUAUGUGCCAUGUAGGAGAGGAGUUUAAGGUGCAAUGCUAACUGGACGUGGAAUGACGCCGUUUGGUUCAGCAGUAGAAGUUACAAGUGAUGGAAGCAGAGCUCAUGGCGUCUUAUUUGUUUUGCGUCUGUUUCUGCGGCGACUUCGAUUGUAGGUCAGCUGAGUGCAAGGGCUGAGUGUGUGGGAUUUCCUGUUCCAGUUGUGCAGGGUCAGCUGGGGAGUCGAGAUAUUAAGUAAAGACUUGUUAGGGAUGAGCAAGGACGGAGCACAGGAAGGAAGCAGGAGAGGGAUCAUGGCUGCAACCCUUCGACAUCUUUUGUCGUGUCUUGGAAUAGCGGACCAACUUUCCUUAAUAGCUCUGAAAAAAAGCGGACUCCAGCUAAUCGCAUGGAUACGCGGAGUAACUCAAGGAUUUCUGAUACCACGUGCACAGCGAAGACUGGAGGAAGGUGUAAGUGUUGGCAGUGCGAGCAUUGAUGGUGUUAUUAUUAGUGCUGUAGUAAUGUUAUUGUUGAUGUUGCUGUUAUUGUUGUUGUUAUUGUUGCUGCUGCUGUUGUUCUUAUUGUUGGUGAUGGUGUUGUUGUUAGCUCUAGUAGUAAUAGGGAAUAUUCGGAGAAAGAGGAGGCAGAAGUCCAAGAGGAGGAGAAGGAGGAGGAAGAGGAGGAGGAGGACCAAGAGGAGGAGGAGGAGAAGAAGGAAAUACCAGAAUAUGAGGAAAGUGGGACGAGCGAAAGAAAGAAUUAAAGGAAGGAAGAAAUUAAGAGAAUUAUCGAAGGCUGAAGUAGAUGUACGAAAGGGAAGAAGAA